GACAGAGGGUGCGAACGUUGUUCGGAAUUACUGGGCGUAAAGCGCGUGUAGGCGGCAACGCAAGUCGGGCGUGAAAUCCCACGGCUCAACCGUGGAAGUGCACUCGAAACUGCGUAGCUAGAGUCCUGGAGAGGAAGGUGGAAUGCUUGGUGUAGAGGUGAAAUUCGUAGAUAUCAAGCGGAACACCGGUGGCGAAGGCGGUCUUCUGGACAGUGACUGACGCUGAGACGCGAAAGCGUGGGGAGCAAACAGG
rnacentral:rRNA from 1 species